AGUGAACGCUGGCGGCGUGCUUAACACAUGCAAGUCGAACGAGAACGGAUUAUAGCUUGCUAUAAUUGUCAGCUAAGUGGCGCACGGGUGAGUAAUGUAUAGGUAAUAUGCCUCUUACUAAGGGAUAACAAAUGGAAACGUUUGCUAAUACCUUAUACUCCUUAUUAACAUAAGUUAAUAAGGGAAAGAUUUAUGGGUAAGAGAUUAGCCUGUAUUGUAUCAGUUAGUUGGUGGGGUAAUGGCUUACCAAGACUAUGACACAUAACUGGUUUGAGAGGAUGAUCAGUCACACUGGAACUGAGACACGGUCCAGACGCCUACGGGAGGCAGCAGUGGGGAAUAUUGCACAAUGGGCGAAAGUCUGAUGCAGCAACGCCGCGUGGAGGAUGACACAUUUCGGUGCGUAAACUCCUUUUAUAUGAGAAGAUAAUGACGGUAUUAUAUGAAUAAGCACCGGCUAACUCCGUGCCAGCAGCCGCCGUAA
rnacentral:rRNA from 1 species